AGAAAGAGGCAGAGGGAGAAGCAGGCUCCUCGCAGGGAGCUCAGUGUGGGACUUGAUCCCUGGACUGGGAUCACGCCCUGAGCUGAAGGCAGAUGCUCAACCACUGAGUCACCCAGGCAUCCCUGCACUGCCUUUUCAAGGAAAGCUCUAUAAUGAGUGAUAUUUUGUGCAGAGUUGAGACCAGCUGGAUCAUGGGCUGCAAACCAUAUGCAUUUACACUAGAAACCUCUUUCCCCUUUGGUUCUGCUUCCAAUUACUCCCAUCUUCUGAUUUCCUGGCUUUUUGGCACCUCAGUCCAAUUUCUACAUCUGCUGCUUAACCAUUUGGUUUGGUGACCAUCCCUUUCCAAGCUUCUUGAACUUAGGUUCUGCACACACUUCUGAGAUCUGUUCAUUCCUUUGGCUUUGGUAAAAUCGAUCUCUGACUCCCAACCUACUAUAAUUCCAGUUGUGUACUGAUACAAUCACUAAAUGGACUUGUCCCCCCACUACCCAGAAUUACAGCCAAACACUGUAAUUCAUUCAGAGGAGUUUUUCUUUCUGGAGUAGAAGUAUUAUAUUAUUAUUAUAUAUUUUUAAAUAUUUUUGUAUAUAGUCUAUGACCUUUUACCACUAAAGACAAUUCCCCCUGAUGGGGAAAAGAAAUAGAAAGUAUAUUCAUUUAGGCAAGGGCCUUAGUUGGGUUUGGCUUGCCAGAGAAUAUGCUAUGUUUGGAAAACAAAAACAAAAUUAUACAUGAGAUAAUCUGAAGACCUAUAUAAAGAGCUGAAGCAAGACUAUGAAGUGUAAUGUAACUAAAAAUUAUUGAGUUAAGAUCUGGAGCUCUUCUGUUUAUCAUAUUAUUGUAAACUUAAUCGAAUCAAACUAAACUGAUUCAGAGGAUGAAUAUUGCACUAGUCAUGCUGAAUUGUAUUAAUUCUCAUCUUCCGUUGUCUCUUUGGAGUCAGAGAUGGGAAGAAACAAGAAUUUUGAUGCAUGUAGUGCUCUCAUACAAGCAGUGAGGCAGUUUACAAGUGAAGAAAAGUCUGUGCUUUUGAAACGACUGGAAAUGAUCUCAAUGUGGCUUUUCAAAUAUACCAGUUCAAUCUUAUUCUAAAAUGAAAUUAUUUAGUUAUUAAAAUGAAACAUAGUAAUUUAACUGCUAUUGUUGGCAGCUGAAAGAACAGCAGAACUGAUUUGGAGAACUCAGAGAAUUCUUCAGAUAUCCUCCAAAAAUCAGAAGGCCGGCGUCAUGAACAGUGAUGUCAUUAUCUACAAGAUGACUCUUCCAGUAAUAUGUUAUCUGUGAGUGUCCUGGCUCUCUAACUUUUCAAACUUCCAUCAAAUAGUUAAAACAUUUACAUUAUUUAUAUAUUUCUAUGGAACAGCAUACAUUUCUUUCUUUAUCUGAUUUCAAAAUCUCUUUUGGAUUAAAAAAGGCAUGAAAUAAACAAACAACAUACUUUUGAGAUGUCAUUUAAUUUGUUUAGUUGCAUAUAAUUUUUCCUUUAUGAAACGAUUUGAUACUUUUCAGUAUCAAAAGGCCGUAGCUUCUAAAUUUCCUUCUUCCAAAAUUCUCUGAUCUGGCCGGAAUCAGGCAUCUGUCAAUGGAAGGAGAUCUUUCAGUACAGGAUCUAACUCAUUGAGCUCAAUAGCAAACCUUGUGAAGCCAUAGUAGAGCUCAUAGUUGGUUGGCAUGGAACCUGGUCUGUUUUCUUUUCUUUAAACAUCUUCUUAUUCUUUGGAAUAUGAGAUCAGCAUUCUUUAAGGUAUUACAUCUUUGAAUCUAAAGUCUCAGUCUAAUGUGAACCAGUUUCCCUCUACAUUUCUAGAUACCUAGUUUUUAAGAUUGAUUUUGUUCGCUGCUAUACGAUUUUGUUCGUUGCUAUACAGAACAUUUAAUUGAAUCAUACUACUAAUGAACAAAGAUGAUGAGAACUUUUUAUUGUUUUGCUCUGUUUUCUUUUCCCCCAAUGGCACUUCUUCCCCCAGAAGAGUCUAUAUUUCAGAAUAUAUAGUCUGUCAACGUUAGUUCAUUUCAAUGCUGCAUUGAUACUUGAUUGUGAUACUGUAUUGGGGAAAUUCAUGUAUAUUGAAGAGGGGCUGCCGAGAGUGUGGAAGAUGGGCAGACAACAAUAGCAGAUAAACAACAAUUAAUUAGAGAGAAGAGAGCAAAAGCAGAAUUUAUGAAACUAGAAAUAAGAUUAAAAUGCAGGAACAUAUCUGAGAAAUUAGUUUUAGUUCAGCAGGACUACAGUUUGAUUUUCAUAGUGUGGACUCGGUACUGUUAACUGCACGUCUUCACUGGAAACAAAGUUUUCUAUAAGGGAUAGUAUAUGCAUUGGAAAAACCUCAUUAAUCACAAUUAUUAACAACUCUAAAUUCUUUGAUGGUGAGAUCCCAGUCGGUUUAUUCUUUGAAUAACCUAAAAUAUUGAAUUAUCUAUUAAAAACCUGAUGAAUUCCUCAAAUGUGGUAGAUAUUAUUGUUCAUGAACUGGGAAGUUCUUGGCGUUUGAGAGCUCAGUGUUCUAGGAGGGAAGGCAAAGGGUAAGCCAGGAGUCACAAAUCAUUAUGACCUGGUCUCCAAACAUUUGAAUGUAUACAAUUCAAUAAAAAAUUUUAAGACAUUAA